rfam:Deltaproteobacteria bacterium RIFOXYD12_FTLL_53_23 rifoxyd3_full_scaffold_1403, whole genome shotgun sequence.
GGGGCUAUAGCUCAGCUGGGAGAGCGCUUGAAUGGCAUUCAAGAGGUCAGCGGUUCGAUCCCGCUUAGCUCCA